UGCCCACCUGCGUCGGUCUCCAGCCUCAGUUCUACAUGUCUGCAGAUCACAGUGUAUGGACAUCAAGGAAACUGACUGCAGAGAACUGAAAGGACAGCUCAGAACGGGACCAUGCAAAUUUGGGAAGAAUGUCCGAAAAUACAAUAACAGAGUUAUGAAAAGAUGCAAUUUCAACAAUAACACAACCUGAACCGUCGAACUGAGGUACGUAAAAACCCCUGGAAAAACGAAUAUAUAGAAGUUUAGCCAUCUGUAUGAUUGGAUAAAG